UACGUAGGUGGCAAGCGUUAUCCGGAAUUAUUGGGCGUAAAGAGCUCGUAGGCGGUUUGUUGCGUCGGCUGUGAAAUCCCGAGGCUCAACCUCGGGUCUGCAGUCGAUACGGGCAUCACUGGAGUUCGGCAGGGGAGACUGGAAUUCCUGGUGUAGCAGUGAAAUGCGUAGAUAUCAAGUGGAACACCAGUGGCGAAGGCGAGUCCCUGGACGAUUUCUGACGCUGAGGCACGAAAGCUAGGGGAGCAAACAGG
rnacentral:rRNA from 1 species